UUUCUUCAGAAAUGGAGACGACAGAAAGCUGCGGAGGCAGACAUUUGCAGCAGAUUGUUUGCAGAUAAUGCUGUUCUUCUUUUUCAGAAGUUUUUGGUGAGCCAACCCUCACAAACCUUCCUAAAAACUAAAAGAGCUAUUACUGAGUCUCAGCGAAUCUUGCCAUGAUUAGCUCUUCCCAGAAGAGAAGGAUGACCAAGGAAAUGAUUUGCUCAGGAUGAGGAAUGAAGACGGCCAUCUUGAGCCCAAACAAAGACAGAAGUCCUCUG